GACUCCCAUUUAGAUUAACAAACAAAAAAUACGCUUACUGUAGGUGUUUUCACGCAGUUAUAAUUCGUUUUCGAGAAAUUUGACGUUUCGCCGCCAUCUUGGAUGUUUUGCUCGUCAGCGCAUAAACUGUCAGCGGUCGCUUUUGUGACAUACUGUAUGAACAAGAUGGCGUGGUCUAUGUUGCUCUUUGGCAUUACCGCUGAAACUUUGUGGCAGCCAUUUGUUUUCGUCUCAUUCCACGUUGCAUCAAACAACCUCACGUUGAAUCAUUCAAGCUCAAAACUAUGCAAAAGCAAGCAUAUCACAACCAAACCACAAUGGAUCUGAGGAAUCGAUGUACAUGUGCGUAAAAACUUUGUCGUGCUGCUAAUGAAGUUAUUAGCCUUAAAAUGGGUAAAAUAAGCUUUUACUUGAAAAUGAAUAAGAAGAUUCAGAGUGAUGCUCUAAAAAUGAAGAAUCAAGCUAGUGACUUAAAAUACUAUUGUACAAACAGUCCAUUUUAUUUGUUCAUUUUGGUGGCAGUCACAAUGUGAUGUGCUGCUUAUCAUUUUCUGGAAUGUGGUUGAUGACUGCAUUUCCCACCUCUGGAUGAUAAAAGACCAAUCAAAUGUUACCAGUAUAUGAGAAUGUUUGAAUGCAAGGAUUACACUGAUGAAGAACCUUAAAAGAAUAACUUCAUGCUUCACACCUGUACCACAAUAAAAAGGUUGUGCAGCUGUGCUAUAUAUGUGAGUCUACAUUAAUUUUGACUAUGUGGAAUAUACUGACUUGUUUCAAUCAAAUUGCAAAUAUCUGAAUCUAGGGUUAUGGGUCAGUGUUAGACUUUUACUUGAACACAAUCAAUAUCAAUCAUAAAUAGAUUGGGCAAAAAGGUCAACCCUUUUAGUUUUCUAUGGACAGAGUCAUGUUGGCACCACACACUGCCAAUAUCUGAACUAGUUUUUUUAUGAUUUUGUAUAGUGUACCCCUUGCUUGUAGCCUGGAGUGUGUCAAUGAGGGGGAGGUGGUUGUUGGAUUGGGGCUGCAAUUCCCUUGGAAAUGCACCAAUGCUCAGCAGAAAUCUUAUAUUAAUUCUUUUGUUGAACCAAUAAAUGGCGGAAAUAGAGAGGAGUUGUCUUGUCUUAUUUUAUAUGAACAUUUAUUAGCUUAUUGCUUAGUGCUACCUUCUAUGUGAUUACAGUAAAAGCUCUGCUAACUAGGGGCUAAAAUCACCAAGUGCCAAAAGCUAGAGACAGAGAUUUUGAAAUAAAACCCCUAUUUCUAUCAUUCUAAACCCCCUCUUUCUAUUUUCUUUUAAGACCCCUCUUCUAGCCAAAGAACAAAAUGUCCUGGGGGCUGACUAGUGAGGCUUACUAGGGGAGUUUUGAUGCUGUUAUGGUGAUUCCAAAUUUGUUAUAGUUGUCCAUAUUUUACCAAGAUGGUGAACGUCAUAUCAUGCACGAUCUCUACUGCAUGAUUACUUGAAAUGCACUGAAAAAAAAAAGGGGUUGCUUUUUACAAUAAUUUUACCGUAAAUAUAAGCCUGUUUUUAUGAUUUGGCGCUUUAAUUCCAGUAAGCAUGUUAAUCAUGGUCUCUUGUAGUGUUUGGUAUUUAAGAACUAUUCCGCAACAAUUGAUGACUGGUUAUUUCAUUUUAUCAACACUCUCCCAGACUAUGAAAUAUUUUCAAGAGAUUGGAGCCAUUCGAGAAAAGAGGAGUUGCUCUUGAUUCUGCACACAUAGCCCACAUAUAAACUGUAUUGUGCUUGCUAUACCCAUUGGGUAGCAUGUAACUUAUUCUGUUAUCCUUCAGGUUCUUUAUACCAGUUCCCCUACUCUGUUCAAUCCCGAAGAACGACCCUCAUUUUACAACAGUUUUUAACGCAAAGACUCACUGAGACGAGAGUAUACAAUAAAAUACACAACUUUUAGCAGUUCAUCUACACAAUUUUAUUAGAAGGUCUGUCCGGCAGUAAUAGCUAGCAUACAAUAAGUAUAAAUACAAUCAACAAAUAAUCUAAAAAAUCUACUUCAUCAACUAUUUCCCAGCUAAAAAAGCUGCAUGUAAACACGUACUCUUAUCAAAUUUAUUUCCAAUUUGCUAGAUGCCUUCUAUUUACAUUUUCAACAGUAUUUCAAAAUAUUUCAAAAUAUCACUUACAGUUUUUCUGUUACGUGGAAAAGUACUUAAAUCCAGGUACUUGUGGCGGAUCAAAAGAUAAGUUAUAUGUUGUAAGCUUAUCGAACAGUCGUUUGAGUACAUGAAGUCGCACAUAUUAGGUUUUGUUUCACUUCAUGGUCUUCUGUCACACUUUUUCGAUCUUGUUUUAAACAGUGUUCCCCUAAUUGAUGUUCUGCGUCCUACGGAGUAACAUUAUACUUUGUAUCUGAGUUUGAUAUGCUGAAACCUCGGUGAUUACACCUUGCAGCAACUUUACAAGUAGUCUGAGUCGAAGAGGCGCGCCCGCAAUGAGAAUAAAUAUUUUCAUAAGGCGGGAACAAAACGCCAUCUUGUUCAUACAGUACGUCACAAAAGCGACCGCUGACAGCUUAUGCGCUGACGAGCAAAACAUCCAAGAUGGCGUGAAACAUCGAAUUUCUCGAAAACGAAUCAUAACCGCGCGAAAACACCUACAGUAAGCAUAUUUUUUGUUUUUACAUCUCAAUAUGAGCCCUGGUUGUAUUUAGCUUACAGUUCCCCUUUAAGAUUUUUUUUUUUUUUUUUUGCUAAUAUCUAAAAUUUGCCUGUUGUCAUCGAAUGGCAUAAUAAAAAAAUUUCACCCGAAAUGAAGCCAUUUGGGUCUACGGUAUCGUUAAAUAA